rfam:Camelus ferus unplaced genomic scaffold scaffold904, whole genome shotgun sequence.
GUAGUUGUGGCCAAGUGGUUAAGGUGAUGGACUAGAAAUCCAUUGGGAUUUCCCCACACAGGUUCAGAUCCUGUCAACUAUG